UUACCGGCCGCGGUAUUUUGACCGUGCAAAGGUAGCAUAAUCAUUUGUCCUUUAAUUGGGGGCUAGAAUGAAAGAAAGUUUGAAGCUUUUUCUGUCUCUUUUUUAUUUUUGUAAUUUGCUGUUCUUGUGAAGAAGCAAGAGUUGUUAAAAAAGACAAGAAGACCCUAUUAAUCUUUAUUUUUUUGUUUUUAUUUGUUUGAAUAUAAAAACGAAAAGAUUUGGUUGGGGUGACUAAAGAAGAAAAAUUUAUCUUCUUUUUUUAAAAAUAACUCUUUGUUUAACAGAGACCCAAAAUUUUUUGGUUGUAAGAAUUAGUUACUUUUGGUUUAACAGCGUUAUCUUUUCAUAAAGUUGUUAUUGAAGAAAAGGAUUGCGACCUCGAUGUUGACUUACUUUAUCCUAUAAAGGUGUAGCAGCUGUGAGGGUUGGU
rnacentral:rRNA from 1 species